rnacentral:rRNA from 1 species
UACGUAGGAGACGAGCGUUGUCCGGAGUUACUGGGCGUAAAGCGUGCGCAGGCGGUUUUGUAAGUCAGAUGUGAAAUCCCCGGGCUUAACCUGGGAACUGCGUUUGAAACUACAAGGCUAGAGUGUGGCAGAGGGGGGUGGAAUUCCACGUGUAGCAGUGAAAUGCGUAGAGAUGUGGAGGAACACCGAUGGCGAAGGCAGCCCCCUGGGUUAACACUGACGCUCAGGCACGAAAGCGUGGGGAGCAAACAGG